UUGUACUGACCUCAUGACCUGCGGGGUUCCCUUUGUCAUCCUAUGCCUGGAGCUCAGAGUGAGGCAGGGGUCGCAAAGGGCUGCUCAGCUGUUGUUUCUAAC
rnacentral:pre_miRNA from 11 species